GGGAAUGUGGCUCAGUUGGUAGAGUGCUUGCCUAGCAUGCACAGAGACCAGGGUUCAAUUCCCAGCAUUGCCU